rnacentral:sRNA from 1 species
ACCUAAACCCGACAGCAGCGAAAAUCCUUUUUGUUUGCAGCAGCCUUAAAUGGCCUUUCAUCUGCAGCCUAUGAGCAGAUCCUUCGUACCUCAGGAUGACAGGACCACAAAAAGAUUGCAGCGUAUGGCAGGACUACCG